GAUGAACGCUGGCGGCGUGCCUAAUACAUGCAAGUCGAGCGAACGGAUGAGAAGCUUGCUUCUCUGAUGUUAGCGGCGGACGGGUGAGUAACACGUGGGUAACCUACCUAUAAGACUGGGAUAACUUCGGGAAACCGGAGCUAAUACCGGAUAAUAUUUUGAACCGCAUGGUUCAAUAGUGAAAGAUGGUCUUGCUGUCACUUAUAGAUGGACCCGCGCUGCAUUAGCUAGUUGGUAAGGUAACGGCUUACCAAGGCAACGAUGCAUAGCCGACCUGAGAGGGUGAUCGGCCACACUGGAACUGAGACACGGUCCAGACUCCUACGGGAGGCAGCAGUAGGGAAUCUUCCGCAAUGGGCGAAAGCCUGACGGAGCAACGCCGCGUGAGUGAUGAAGGUCUUCGGAUCGUAAAACUCUGUUAUUAGGGAAGAACAUAUGUGUAAGUAACUGUGCACAUCUUGACGGUACCUAAUCAGAAAGCCACGGCUAACUACGUG
rnacentral:rRNA from 1 species